AGCCGGUGAUGACCAAUCAAAUUAUUUUUCUGACACCUACUAUGAGAGCUGAACUCCAGCUCCUGAUUCUAAAUAUUCUCUGAGGCUC